rnacentral:rRNA from 1 species
GACGAACGCUGGCGGCGUGCUUAACACAUGCAAGUCGAACGGAAAGGCCCCUUUGGGGGUACUCGAGUGGCGAACGGGUGAGUAACACGUGAGUAACCUGCCCUUGACUUCGGGAUAACUUCAGGAAACUGGGGCUAAUACCGGAUAGGAAUCCUUGCUGCAUGGGGGGGGUUGGAAAGCGUCGGCGGUUUUGGAUGGACUCGCGGCGUAUCAGCUUGUUGGUGGGGUAGUGGCUUACCAAGGCUUUGACGGGUAGCCGGCCUGAGAGGGCGACCGGCCACAUUGGGACUGAGAUACGGCCCAGACUCCUACGGGAGGCAGCAGUGGGGAAUAUUGCACAAUGGGCGGAAGCCUGAUGCAGCAACGCCGCGUGCGGGAGGACGGCCUUCGGGUUGGAAACCGCUUUCAGCAGGGGCGAAGCUUGUGGUGACGGUACCUGCAGAAGAAGCACCGGCUAACUACGUG